rnacentral:sRNA from 1 species
UGAAGGUCAAGGGAAAACUGGAUUCAGGAAGUAGCUAACUUCUGAAGAGUUGCACAAGAGCUGAAUACACCCCCUACUG